AUGUUCAAUGAAGAUGAUAUUUUUUGUCCCCCAAGUUUUGAUGAGAAAAUUUAUUAUGAUGAUAGCAUGCCUCCUAUUUAUGAUGAUUAUAUUGAUGAAAGUGGGUUUGGAAGAUUUUCCACACUAGGUAGUAUUGAUCCCACUAUUUUGGAGGGUGUUGACUCUUUUCACAAUAUUGAAAAAAGUGGAUUUGGAGAGGUCAUGACUUUAUUUAGUGAUCAAUCCACUAUUUUGGAAGAGGUUUCAAUUGAUUAUGACAACAAAGUUCCUAUCUAUGAUGAUUAUGGUGAUGAUAUGUAUUCUGUAAAGAGUAAUGAUAACCAUGAAACUUGUCAUCAUGAUUUUGAUUUUCAAUUGAUUAUGCCUCACAUGAUAGUUAUUUUGUUGAGUUUGCUCCCACUACUAUUCAUGAGAAUAAAUUUGCUUAUGUGGAGAGUAACAAAAUUUCUAUGCUUGUGGAUCAUGAAAAGAAUGCCUUGUGUGAUAGUUAUAUUGUUGAAUUCAUUCAUUAUGCUACUGAAAAUUAUUAUGAGAAAGGAACAUAUGCUUUUACACAUUGCAACAAUAUCAAGUUUCCUCUCUAUGUGGUGA
rnacentral:rRNA from 1 species